AGAGAGAGACAUGCGCGCAUAUCAAUAAGCGGAGGAAAAGAAACUAACAAGGAUUCCCCUAGUAACGGCGAGUGAAGCGGGAAGAGCUCAAAUUUGAAAUCUUAAAGGGUUUCCCUUUACGAAUUGUAGUUUAAAGAAGUGUUUUCUGUUGAGGUUUUGGUAAAAGUUCUUUGGAAUAGGACAUCAUAGAGGGUGAGAAUCCCGUAUUUGACCUUUACUUUCAACUUUGUGAUACACUUUCAAAGAGUCGGAUUGUUUGGGAAUGCAGUCCAAAAUGGGUGGUAAAUUUCAUCUAAAGCUAAAUAUUGGCGAGAGACCGAUAGCGAACAAGUACCGUGAGGGAAAGAUGAAAAGAACUUUGAAAAGAGAGUUAAACAGUACGUGAAAUUGUCAAAAGGGAAGCGUUUGACACCAGUGUUGUUUUUCUGAAAAUCAAUUAAAGAACUGUUUAUGCUAAGUUGUUUAGACUUUAUCAGCUAACUGUUUAGUUUUGAGCUUUUCUUUAAUGCACUUUUCAGUUAACAAGUCAACAUCAAUUUCUUUUGCUGUAAAAAAGCUUGAGGAAGGUGGCUUGAGAUUCGUCUUAAGUGUUUAUAGCCUCUUGCCUAUGCAGUCGGAGAGAUUGAGGUCUGCAGCGUAGAUCCUUCGGGGCUAAAUGCAUUUGUGCUAAGUUAUAGCAUUUUAUAGACAACUUGUUGACUAUGAUUUGUCUUGUAGCUUACUCGCUUAUGUUAUGUUACCUACGCUUAGGAUGUUGAGCGCAUGUCUCUCUCU
rnacentral:rRNA from 1 species